CCGGAUUUGGUUUUCGGAAGUGAUUUCCGAAUAACUAGGGUUUUGCGCCGAGAUGGCUUCGCCUUUUUCUCAUCGAGCUUCCUCAAUCCCUCCCUCUUUCUCUUCGCCGCCAUGUCUCACGAUUGCAGCAGUGACGAUGAAGAGAUUGAAAGCCGCCCAGUGGUAUGUAUGCGCAAUGAAAGUGAGGGAUCGGCAAAGAGAGAAGCCCAUGCAGGCGAAAAAAGGAAGAGGCAAACAAAGACCAAUGUAAUGGAGGAGUUAAAUAAAGCGUUUAAAGCUAUUGCCGAAGCGAUUAAGCAAACUCAUUCUCACUGGAUGGAUGAACUUAUGGCAAAGUUAUUGAAGUAUCAGAAUGACGGGUCAUGAUGAUGCAAACUAUAGAAGCAGCAUUCGAUAUUUUAUACAAAGAUGAGAUGGAAGGCAGGGCAUUUAUAGCAAAAACUCAUUCGAUGAACUUACGUUGGUUGAAGAAAUUUUGUGGAUGCUGAGAAGCAGAAUGAAUGAUGAGUAUUGGUGAACCUUUUGAAGGAGCAGCAGUGUUACUUUUUGGAGGUUUUUGUUGAAAUAUGUUUUGAAGUCUUUAGAGAAGUUGUUCAUGCUGCUUGGACCUUCAAAUCUGGCAUGGUAAUAUGUAAGACUGUUUGCAGUAGAUGUUUUUUGUUUGGAGAUUAGACUAAACUAUGAUGUCUAUGAUCAUGUUUCUUUUUUUUUUUUCUUAUUUUAUUUUAUUUUUAUUUUUUGGGAUACAACUAUAAUUCAAUUGUGUUUUGGUUUUUUACUGUCACCCAUGAAAAAUAAUGC